AGACAAACGCUGGAGUACUUGAUACUCUUGAGGAAAGUCCAUGCUCACACAUAACUGAGAUGUUUGUAGUGUUCGUGCUUAGGGAACAAAUAACCUAAGGUAGUUUUACUAACGGCGGAAUUUAUUUCUAAGUUUUUUGAUAUGAAGUAAACCGUAAAGUGCCGCAGUGACGAUGCUUUGGGAAACCAAAGAGUGAAACGUGGUAAACCCCGCGAGUGAGAAAUCCAAAAUUGGUAGGAGAGUCCCAACAAAAGAAAUGAAUGGAGUUGGGGACCAGAAAUGGUAGAUAAAUGUUUGUCGCCUAGAAAUAGGAACAGAACAUGGCUUAUU
rnacentral:RNase_P_RNA from 1 species